rnacentral:rRNA from 1 species
GGGUGACAGGAUGCAAGCGGAAGCGGAAAUAUGAAGGGGUCAAGCGUUAAUAGGAAGGGCGGGACGUACAGCGUGUGCAGGGUGGGAUGGAGGAGAGAUGGGAAAUCCACGGGCUGAACCUGGGAACUGCAUUGGUAACUGCAUCGGUAGAGGAUGGCAGAGGGGGGUAAAAUUCAAGGUGUAUCAGUGAAAUGCGUAGAGAUGUGGAGGACUACCGAUGGAGAAGGCAGCCCCAUGGGCAAAUACUGACGCUCAUGCACGAAAGCGUGGGGAGCAAACAGGAUUAGAUACUCUAGUAGC